rnacentral:rRNA from 1 species
AAGCAUUAAAAGGAUGCCUAAACAUCAAAAAAUAAAAGGACGUAUUUUUAACGAAAAAGUACAGUGAGUGUUAUUUAACGCUGUGACCUGUAUUUAUCCUUAUCGGAAAACCGAACUUUUCAAAUUAAGUUUUUUUUAAGCAAAAAAUUGUUUAAAAAUUAAUAAGUUUAGUGAACUGAACCAUCUAAGUAACUAAACAAAAAAAUCAACCGAGAUACCGUAAGUAGUGGCGA